AGCGAACGCUGGCGGCAGGCCUAAUACAUGCAAGUCGAACGGUCUCUUCGGAGGCAGUGGCGGACGGGUGAGUAACGCGUGGGAACGUGCCCUUUGGUACGGAACAACUGAGGGAAACUUCAGCUAAUACCGUAUGUGCCCUUCGGGGGAAAGGAUUUAUCGCCAUUGGAGCGGCCCGCGUUGGAUUAGCUAGUUGGUGGGGUAAUGGCCCACCAAGGCGACGAUCCAUAGCUGGUCUGAGAGGAUGAUCAGCCACACUGGGACUGAGACACGGCCCAGACUCCUACGGGAGGCAGCAGUAGGGAAUCUUGCGCAAUGGGCGAAAGCCUGACGGAGCGACGCCGCGUGGAGGAAGAAGUAUUUCGGUAUGUAAACUCCUUUUGUCAGGGACGAAACAAAUGACGGUACCUGAAGAAUAAGCAUCGGCUAACUACGUG
rnacentral:rRNA from 1 species